GCACCGUGGCCGUUGCAGGCUGCAUCCUUCCCCUCGCCAGCACGGAGCUGCCGCGCUGCAUCUCACUUUUACAACGCGGCUUGUGCAGCCGCGACUGCACCGCAUGCAACGGUGCAUCGGUGGCUGAUCGAUUCCUGUAUCGGAAAGCAAUCCGUAGCCGCAUGGUGACGUCACGCCGCUGAUCGGUGAUAGUGGCUGGGCGGGUUGGUGGCUGGCUGGCUGGCUGGGUAGCCUACCUCGCGGACGCCAGGGAAAUAUAGACCGAUGGGUGCAUUUAAACUCCACAUCGGAUAAAAAGAAAAGUAGGCUACAAAAAAAAAAAAAAGCACAACAUCUUACUAGGAGUGUGUGGACGCGCACGGGACUGCUCGCUGUUUGUUUUGUUUAUUUGUCGCGUGGGAAAUGUAGUAGCUCUCACGGCCGCCAGCGGGGGGAUGGAUGCGUAACAGGACGGAUCGAGCCAGCUGUGGCCUGCUUCUAACAGCAACAUCUGGCCGGUGAGUCGCACUGACAGGCGGCGCAGCUUGCCCCAGGCGGGCGGGCAGCUUGGUGAACCAGGCACGGUAACAGCCAGGGAGGCUCGGUGUCUGUGCAGCCGCGCUCCCUGAUCUCUGGUUGGGGUCAGAGAGGGCUCCUCAGCAGCCAGCCGGCUCUGGACUACAGCGAGGAGAUGGAGGAGGGGGAAGGGCCCAUGGCGGUCAGAGAGGGGCAGAGCGGUCAUGGCCUCCCACCGAACGCCAGCAGCAGCAGCAGCACCACCACCACCACCAACAACCUCCUGGCUUCCGUCAAAGAGCAGGAGCUUCAGUUUGAGCGGCUGACUCGGGAGCUGGAGGAGGAGCGGCAGAUCGUGGCGAGCCAGCUGGAGAGGUGCAUGCUGGGAGCUGAGUCACCAGCGGGAGACAGUAGCAGCUCAUCCGAGAAGUCGUUUGCAUGGAGAUCCGCAGGUGGAGAGUCGCAGGGCGGAGUCCUGAAGGGGUCUGGAUGUCCGGGACGUCCCCUGGAGGUGGAGGACGGCCUCUACAUGCCUGAACCGGACCGCGCCUCCCUGCAUGACAGUGAGGGCUCCGGAGGCCACUCGGCUCAGAUGACCUCGUAUUCCGACAGCGGCUACCAGGACAGCAGCGUUAGUUUUUACAGCAACCAAAAUGUGGUGCGAUCGGAGCCCCGGGCCUCAAUAUCGAGGAGCCCAAGAGCCGAGGGCCAGGCCUCUGGGCAGGUGUCUGGCAGGGUGUUACGCCGGAUGGCCUCUCUCCCUUCCAGGAGCCAGUCUCCCGGUUGCGGCACCGCCGGCACGGUCUCCCCCUCCCGCAUCUCCCUGCGAACGUCCCAGGGCAGCACCUACGACUCACCCAUUCUCUCGGAGCCCAAGCCUCUGGCGGCCGUGUUCCCCGGCACCUUCAUCCCGCCCGCCUGCCAGUCGCCAACCUCUCCGACAGACGGCCUCCAGGCCCCAGGUGUUGGGUUGGUAGGAGGCAGGGGUCGCCUGGGCUCCACCCUUUCUCUGGUGGAGGGGAGGUGUUUGACGGGGUCGCCGCUGCGCUCGGGGAUGACAGCCGUGCCGCAGCACUACGGCUCAACGCUGCCCCGGCAGAGCCAGCCGCUGGCCUACGGUGCCGACCCGUACGGCCUGUACCAGAGGACCGCGCUGCCCCGUCCCGACAGCCUCAUAGGGCUUCACAGUUCCUACGUCGGUCAGGCGGGGCAGAUCCAUUCAGAGCUGAGGGGGGCGCUGUCUCCAGACUGCCACAUGACGCCCGUGUUCGAUGAGCGCUCCUUCCACAGCCCCAUGUACCACAGCCCCACCCACGACCCCCAAGGCUCGCUCUACAGGACAAACACAGGUAUGGCGACCCUCCCUCGGGCUACGAGCCACAGCGGCACAUUGCCGUACCAAAGAAGCAGCUACGGGCUGAGCACGGCGGCUCUGUACGUCGACUCCUACGGGGUCUCUGGCGAGCCCGUCUUCUCCCACCGCCACUCGGGGCUGGUGGAGCGGGUGGUCACGCGCACCCCGUCCAUCGAAAGUAUCCACAAAGACCCCAGAGAGUUUGCAUGGCGUGAUCCCGAGCUGCCGGAGGUCAUCCACAUGCUGCAGCAUCACUUCCCCUCCGUCCAGGCCAACGCCGCCGCCUACCUGCAGCACCUGUGCUACGGAGACAACAGGGUCAAGGUGGAGGUGUGUCACCUGGGAGGGAUCCAGCACCUGGUGGACCUGCUGGAUCACAAGCUGACUGAGGUCCAGAAGAGCGCCUGCGGGGCCCUGAGGAACCUGGUGUACGGCAAGGCCACCGACAACAACAAGGUGGCGCUGAGGAACUGCGGCGGCGUCCCCGCCCUGCUGCGCCUCCUCCGGAAAACAACCGACAACGAUGUUCGCGAGCUGGUCACAGGCGUCCUGUGGAACCUCUCGUCAUGUGACGCGGUGAAGAUGACCAUCAUCCGCGACGCUCUGAGCACGCUGACCAACACGGUGGUCAUCCCCCACUCUGGCUGGAGCAGCGGCGCGCACCGCGAAGAACACAAAGUCAAGUUCCAGUCCUCACUGCUGCUGCGGAACACCACCGGCUGCCUGAGGAACCUGAGCUCAGCAGGGGAGGAGGCGAGGAGUCAGCUGCGUUGCUGUGAAGGUCUGGUGGACUCGCUGCUUCACGUCCUCAAAGCCUGCGUCAACACCUCCGACUACGACAGCAAGAUCGUAGAGAACAGCGUGUGCACCCUGAGGAACCUGUCAUACCGGCUGGAGGUGGAGAUGCCCUCCUCUCGUCUCCUCGGCAACCCAGAGCUGGACACCCUGCUGGGCUUCUCCUCGCCGGCCAAGGAGCUGGACUACCUCUGCUGGGGCAAGAGGAGGCACGGCCGGAAGAGGGGCGGCUGGCCCGAUGACAAGUGGGACGGCGUGGGGCCGAUCCCGGGUUUCUCCCAGCCUCUGAGGGGGGCGGAGCUGCUGUGGCACCCGGUGGUGGUGAAGCCGUACCUCAACCUGCUGGCCGAGAGCUCCAACCCCGCCACGCUGGAGGGCGCCGCCGGCUCGCUGCAAAACCUCUCCGCCGGCAACUGGAAGUUCUCGGCCUACAUCCGAGCUGCGGUGCGUAAAGAGAAGGGUCUGCCCAUCCUGGUGGAGCUGCUGCGGAUGGACAACGACCGGGUGGUCUGCUCCGUUGCCACCGCCCUCCGCAACAUGGCGCUGGACAGCCGCAACAAGGAGCUGAUAGGAAAGUAUGCCAUGCGGGAUCUGGUUAACCGGCUGCCUGGCGGCAGUCCAACGGUGCUGUCGGACGAGACGGUGGCGUCGGUCUGCUGCACGCUGCACGAGGUCACCAGCCGCAACAUGGAGAACGCUAAAGCUCUGGCCGACAGCGGAGGCAUCGAGAAGCUGGUGGACAUCAGCAAAGGACGGGGGAAAGGGUACUCAACGAAGGUCGUGAAGGCGGCAGCGCAGGUGUUGAACACGCUGUGGCAGUACAGAGAGCUGAGGAACCUCUACAAACAGGAUGGCUGGAACUAUACUCACUUCGUCACUCCUGUCUCCACGCUGGAGCGAGACCGCUACCUUUCCCAGCCGACCCUGCCCACCGGCCCGCUGCAGAUGUCCCCAGUCAUCCAAUCAGGUGGCAGCGCGACCUCCUCGCCGGCGAUGCUCGGGAUAAGAAGACACAGUUCAAACUAUCAGAGAGCGCAGUCAUCUAUGCAACUCGACACGUAUUACGGAGACAACAGUUUACACAAACAGCCGUUCGCAGGGUCUGAGAAGAAAACUCCGUAUUUCAUUCAGACAUAUUCUUCCCAGUCGGGAGAGGAUUUGAGAAGGUCCCAGCACACAGAGCCAUUUUACGACGAACCCGACGGGAAGAAUUACAACAGCUACCGUAUCUACCUGUCGUCCCCGCGGGGCUACGGCGAGGAGCACUACGAGGACGAGCCGGUGCACCUGACCCCAUCCUCCCCCGACGGCUACGCCGGCCAGUCGCUCCAGUUCAAAGCCAACACUAACACCAACUACGUGGACUUCUACUCCACCACACGGCGGCCUUCAAACAGGGCGAACAAGUUCACCGGCUCCCCCGACUCCUGGGUGUAACUAGACACAAAAUGGACACCGUAGAUGCUUCUCAUGUUGCUUAAGUUACCUCCUCGACUCCUCCACUUGUCUCCCUUCACAGGAGGAGAGAGGAACUGAGGAAAUGUGUUUAAGGCUUGGGAGGAGUUAGUAACUCCUUCAGCUGCAAGACUUCCGGGAAGGCUGCUCUCGUGUGUCCUUGUCUAUUGCUCCUCAGGGAUCCCUCCUCACUGAUCCCUCUCUCUUAGGGGAUCCCUCCUCGAUGCUCGGGGCAUUAGAGCUUUGAGACGGCCUUCACCGAGGAGGGACGGACCAAUAUCUGGUUCAGCCGAGGAGUCGAGUAGCUAUCACAUAAGCGACAUGAGUAGCACCCCCUGUUGUGUAUGUCCAGCUUCUGUUUGUGUGUGUGUGUGUGUGUGUGUGGGGGGGGGGGUAGUGCAGUGCACGUUGUAGGUGUGUGGAUGUGCUGUGUGGUUGUGUGCAGGGUUACAAACUUAGAACCACCUACCAGCCAAAUGCUGCUAAAGUAAGCGCGUGGCUUGUAGAUUUGCUUCACUCACCAGCCAAAAAACAAUGUGAAUAUUGACUUUUUUGAUUUGAUUUAUUAAGACAACAACAGCGUGACAUGUACUGUAUGACAAAAUAAGUAAAAAUGAAAAGGAAACUUAUAAAACCCUUACAGGGCUUGACAUGUUGGGUUCCCUUAAGCAAUUCUUAGUAAAUCUAUUGAGUGGCUGGUAAAAUUUGAACAUUCACCAUUCGUCAUUUGGCUGAACAAAAAAGGGAAUUUUGGACCCUGGAUGUGUGUGAAAGGUUGAGGAUGCAUGGGAAUGUGUGUGUGCAUCUGUGUUGAAAACUGUAUGACCAGGGGCUUGGUUUUUCCCAUGUGCAGCUUUUGACUAAUCUAGGCCAGGUGCACAGUAAUGCAGAU